rnacentral:lncRNA from 1 species
GAAGAGAAGCAAGAGUCUGAGAUUGAAGUUGUGCUGCUGCAGGUGGAGGUCUGUCACCUCUGAACCACAGGAGGAGACACGCUGAGGCUGAAAAUUAAGACUCUGACAGAGACCAAGAGGACAGCCAUGGUUUCAACCAGACCAGAGAUCCAGCUGUAAAAGACAAGAGGCGGUCGCCCCCCUCUGCCAGAUCCCCCUCCGCCCCGCAACGCAACCCUCACCACAGCGGCUCCACAGACGAGCAGGAGAGCCCUGAGAGAGUGGUGCAGAAGGAGAAGCUCCAUGCAGAGCUGAAGAAGGUGUUGAGUCAGAAAAGAAGUCACCUGAGAGAGUCGACCU